rnacentral:miRNA from 1 species
UUUUUAGUGUAAGUAUAGCCCAUGUAUUCUUUGGGACAUACUUAUACUAAAG